UACAGAGGGGGCAAGCGUUGUUCGGAAUUACUGGGCGUAAAGGGCGCGUAGGCGGCGUGCUAAGUCGAACGUGAAAUCCCCGGGCUCAACCCGGGAACUGCGUCCGAAACUGGCAUGCUUGAAUCCGGGAGAGGGAUGUGGAAUUCCAGGUGUAGCGGUGAAAUGCGUAGAUAUCUGGAGGAACAUCGGUGGCGAAGGCGGCAUCCUGGACCGGUAUUGACGCUGAGGCGCGAAAGCCAGGGGAGCAAACGGG
rnacentral:rRNA from 1 species